rnacentral:rRNA from 1 species
CUACGGGAGGCAGUAGUAGGGAAUUUUCGUCAAUGGGCGCAAGCCUGAACGAGCAAUGCCGCGUGAACGAGGAAGGUCUUCGGAUCGUAAAGUUCUGUUGAAGGGGAAAAAGAGCGGAGAGAGGAAAUGGUCUCCGAUUGAUAUUACCCUUCGAGGAAGUCACGGCUAACUACGUGCCAGCAGCCGCGGUAAUACGUAGGUGGCGAGCGUUAUCCGGAAUGAUUGGGCGUAAAGGGUGCGUAGGCGGCCUGCUAAGUCUGGAGUGAAAGGUACCGGCUCAACCGGUACAGGCUCUGGAAACUGGC